rfam:Daphnia pulex DAPPTscaffold_1659_Cont13287, whole genome shotgun sequence.
GGUCCUAUGGCUUAGAUGGCAAAGCGCCUGCCUAGUAAGAAGGAGAUCACGACUUCGAGUUUUGUUGGGACCU